UACAUGGGGUGCAAACGUUGCUCGGAAUUAUUGGGCGUAAAGCGCACGUAGGCGGUCCGUUAAGUCGGAUGUGAAAGCCCUCGGCUCAACCGAGGAAGUGCAUCCGAAACUGGCGGGCUGGAGUACGAAAGAGGGUCGCGGAAUUCCCGGUGUAGAGGUGAAAUUCGUAGAUAUCGGGAGGAACACCGGCGGCGAAGGCGGCGACCUGGGUCGAUACUGACGCUGAGGUGCGAAAGCGUGGGGAGCAAACAGG
rnacentral:misc_RNA from 1 species